UACGGCCAUAUCACGUUGUCACGUUGAAACACCGGUUCCCAUAUGAUCACCGAAGUUAAGCAACGUAGAGCCUGAUCAGUACUUAGAUGAGUGAUAACUUAGGAAUACCAGGUACUGUAAG